rnacentral:rRNA from 1 species
CCUUCCGUAGGUGAACCUGCGGAAGGAUCAUUACUGAUUUGCUUAAUUGCACCACAUGUGUUUUUUAUUGAACAAAUUUCUUUGGUGGCGGGAGCAAUCCUACCGCCAGAGGUUAUAACUAAACCAAACUUUUUAUUUACAGUCAAACUUGAUUUAUUAUUACAAUAGUCAAAACUUUCAACAACGGAUCUCUUGGUUCUCGCAUCGAUGAAGAACGCAGCGAAAUGCGAUACGUAAUAUGAAUUGCAGAUAUUCGUGAAUCAUCGAAUCUUUGAACGCACAUUGCGCCCUUUGGUAUUCCAAAGGGCAUGCCUGUUUGAGCGUCAUUUCUCCCUCAAACCCCCGGGUUUGGUGUUGAGCAAUACGCUAGGUUUGUUUGAAAGAAUUUACGUGGAAACUUAUUUUAAGCGACUUAGGUUUAUCCAAAACGCUUAUUUUGCUAGUGGCCACCACAAUUUAUUUCCAUAACUUUGACCUCAAAAUCAGGGUAGAGCUUACGUAUCAGGC